rnacentral:misc_RNA from 1 species
UUUCCGUAGGUGAACCUGCGGAAGGAUCAUUACAGAGUUCACGCCCGACAGGGUAGACCUCCCACCCUUGUGUAUUAUUACUUUGUUGCUUUGCCGAGCUGCCUUUGGGCCCCGCGCUUUCAAGCUUCAGCACGCUCGCCAAAGGAUACUAAAAUUCUAUUUAUUAAUGUCGUCUGAGUACUAUAUAAUAGUUAAAACUUUCAACAACGGAUCUCUUGGUUCUG